UACGUAGGGGGCAAGCGUUGUCCGGAUUUAUUGGGCGUAAAGAGCGUGUAGGCGGCUAGGUAGGUGGGUUGUGAAAACUGGAGGCUCAACCUUCAGAGGUCGACCGAAACCAUCUGGCUAGAGUCCGGGAGAGGAGAGUGGAAUUCCUGGUGUAGCGGUGAAAUGCGCAGAUAUCAGGAAGAACACCCGUGGCGAAAGCGGCUCUCUGGAACGGUACUGACGCUGAGGAGCGAAAGCGUGGGGAGCGAACAGG
rnacentral:rRNA from 1 species